CCCCGCAGGGGGAGGGGGCUGCCCGGGCCGGGGAUGCGGGACCCCCGCCGGCUCUCACCCCCCGCCCGGGCCCCGGCCCGCGCUCCCCGCCCCUCCGAGCGGUGCCUCAGCCUUUCCGCCUCGCCUCGGGAGCACCGCGGCCCCCCGGCUGCAGCUCCGGCUCCCCUCUGCCCCCCACCUACCCUCAGCCGUUCUGCUUCCCCUCAGCCUUCUCCAUCUCCUCUCAGCCUCUCCUUCCCUAUCUCUCCUUAGCCAGCCAUCCCACCUCCCCCUAGCCUUCCUCCCCUGCUGUCGGCCUUCCCCAUCCCCUCGGUCCCCUCGUGCCCCCCAGGCAGUCUCUGUGCCUCCCUCAGCCAUCCAGCUGGCUCUGACUCCCCACGCUGUCCCCAAAUCUCCCAGGAAUGAGGGAGGUUCCCUGGCCCUGUAGCGCCCAGGGAGAUCCUUUCAUCUCAGCCACCAGCGCAUCUUCAUGAGCCUGUCCAAGCACAUUACGCAGAUCAGCAGUGCCACAUCCCCCACUUGAUGGCCUCUCAACUGCCCAAACAGCACAGCAACAGCCAGCAGAGAUCCCAAGGCCACCAAGACCACCAUUCCAACCUACAUGUCACAGCACUCUGAUCCAAGGAUGCCAGCUCCAGGCACCUCGUAACACAAUGGAAGAUGUGUCUAGUCCCAGUUCCUGACAUCACCAUUGGCUGGGGAAAGACCCAUCAGGUUCAUUGGAGAAAAAAGAAACAUAUAAGGCAAUUGUUUUGCUUCCACUCUUCCUUUUUAAUGAAACACUUUCUAGUGUUUUAAGCAAAACACGACUUUUCAUUUUGAAAUUUCCUUUCGAACCAUUAAAAUGUUUUAAAGCGGUUGAAGGCGCAGUGAGAUGUUUUGAUUUUUGUCGCUCUGAAA